rnacentral:rRNA from 1 species
AGGACGAACGCUGGCGGCGUGCUUAACACAUGCAAGUCGAGCGGAAAGGCCCUUCGGGGUACUCGAGCGGCGAACGGGUGAGUAACACGUGAGUAACCUGCCCCUAGCUCCGGGAUAGCUCCGGGAAACCGGAAUUAAUACCGGAUGUGAUCACGGCCGACAUCGGCCACGAUGGAAAGAUUUAUCGGCUAGGGAUGGGCUCGCGGCCUAUCAGCUUGUUGGUGGGGUAAUGGCCUACCAAGGCGACGACGGGUAGCCGGGCCUGAGAGGGCGACCGGCCACGACCUGGGACUGAGACACGGCCCAGACUCCUACGGGAGGCAGCAGUGGGGAAUAUUGCGCAAUGGGCGAAAGCCUGACGCAGCGACGCCGCGUGGGGGAUGAAGGCCUUCGGGUUGUAAACCCCUUUCGGCAGGGACGAAGCGAAAGUGACGGUACCUGCAAAGAAGCGCCGGCUAACUACGUGCCAGCAGCCGC